UACAUGGAUGAGCGCUGUGGCUAACAA
rnacentral:piRNA from 1 species